rnacentral:rRNA from 1 species
UACAGAGGGUGCAAGCGUUAAUCGGAAUUACUGGGCGUAAAGCGUGCGCAGGCGGUUUUGUAAGUCUGUCGUGAAAGCCCCGGGCUCAACCUGGGAAUUGCGAUGGAGACUGCAAGGCUUGAAUCUGGCAGAGGGGGGUAGAAUUCCACGUGUAGCAGUGAAAUGCGUAGAGAUGUGGAGGAACACCGAUGGCGAAGGCAGCCCCCUGGGUCAAGAUUGACUCUCAUGCACGAAAGCGUGGGGAGCAAACAGG